rnacentral:rRNA from 1 species
GACGAACGCUGGCGGCGUGCCUAAUACAUGCAAGUCGAGCGGAUGACGGAGGAGCUUGCUCCUCCUGAUUCAGCGGCGGACGGGUGAGUAACACGUGGGCAACCUGCCCUGUAGAUUGGGAUAACUCCGGGAAACCGGGGCUAAUACCGAAUAAUCCUUAGGACCUCAUGGUCCGAUGUUGAAAGACGGUUUAGGCUGUCACUACAGGAUGGGCCCGCGGCGCAUUAGCUAGUUGGUGAGGUAACGGCUCACCAGGGCCACGAUGCGUAGCCGACCUGAGAGGGUGAUCGGCCACACUGGGACUGAGACACGGCCCAGACUCCUACGGGAGGCAGCAGUAGGGAAUCUUCCACAAUGGACGAAAGUCUGAUGGAGCAACGCCGCGUGAGUGAAGAAGGUUCUCGGAUCGUAAAACUCUGUUGUGAGGGAAGAACAAGUACCGGAGUAACUGCCGGUGCCUUGACGGUACCUCAUUAGAAAGCCACGGCUAACUACGUGCCAGCAGCCGCCGUAA